AUAAUACUCUCUACGUCUAACAAAAGAUGUCCAAAGUUUGUCAAAAUUUGGAUGUAUCUAGACAUGACUUAGUGUAUAAAUGCAUUCAAAUUUAAUCAAAGUUGAGACAUUUUUUGUUGGAUGGACGAAGUAUUUA
rnacentral:pre_miRNA from 1 species